GGGGGGGGGGGGGGGCGGGCGUGAUGGAUGCGGGUGGGGGGGGCGGGCGAGGGGCGGGCUUGUGGGAUGGUAGCGGCGGACGGGUGGGUGACACGUGGGUAACCUACCUCUAAGCCUGGGGUAAAUUCGGGACACCGGAGCUCAUACCGGAUAGUAUUUUGAACCGCAUGGUUCACAAGUGAAGGACGGUCUUGCUGUCAAUUAUCGAUGGAGCCGCGCUGCAUGUGCGAGUUGGUAAGGUAACGGCUUACCAAGGCAACGAUGCAGAACCGACCUGCGCGGGUACUCUGCCACACUGGACCUGAUACCCGGUCCAGACUCCUACGGGAGGCAGCAUGAGGGAAUCUUCCCCAAUGGGCGAAAGCCGGACGGAGCAACGCCGCGUGAGUGAUGAAGGUCUUCGGAUCUUAAAACUCUGUUAGUAGGUAAGAACAUAGGUGUAAGUAACUGUGCACAUCUUGACGGUACCUAAUCAGAAAGCCACGGCUAACUACGUG
rnacentral:rRNA from 1 species